UACAGAGGGUGCGAGCGUUGUCCGGAAUCACUGGGCGUAAAGGGCGCGUAGGCGGCCUGAUAAGUAGGGGGUGAAAUCCUGUGGCUUAACUGCAGGGCUGCCUCCUAGACUGUUAGGCUCGAGCACGGUAGAGGCAGAUGGAAUUCCCGGUGUAGCGGUGGAAUGCGUAGAGAUCGGGAAGAACAUCGGUGGCGAAGGCGGCCUGCUGGGCCGUUGCUGACGCUGAGGCGCGACAGCGUGGGGAGCAAACAGG
rnacentral:rRNA from 1 species